rnacentral:rRNA from 1 species
UACAGAGGGUGCGAGCGUUAAUCGGAAUUACUGGGCGUAAAGCGUGCGUAGACGGUUAUUUAAGUCAGGUGUGAAAGCCCUGGGCUUAACCUAGGAAUUGCGCUUGAGACUGGAUAGCUUGGAGUGCGGCAGAGGGAGGUGGAAUUCCACGUGUAGCAGUGAAAUGCGUAGAGAUGUGGAGGAACACCGAUGGCGAAGGCAGCCUCCUGGGCCAGCACUGACGCUCAUGCACGAAAGCGUGGGGGGCAAACAGG